AGACUCUGUGCGCGUGCAUAUCAAUAAGCGGAGGAAAAGAAACUAACAAGGAUUCCCCUAGUAACGGCGAGUGAAGCGGGAAGAGCUCAAAUUUGAAAUCUUAAAGGGUUUCCCUUUACGAAUUGUAGUUUAAAGAAGUGUUUUCUGUUGGAGUUUCGGUAAAAGUUCUUUGGAAUAGGACAUCAUAGAGGGUGAGAAUCCCGUAUUUGACCGUUACUUUCCAGCUGUGUGAUACACUUUCAAAGAGUCGGAUUGUUUGGGAAUGCAGUCCAAAAUGGGUGGUAAAUUUCAUCUAAAGCUAAAUAUUGGCGAGAGACCGAUAGCGAACAAGUACCGUGAGGGAAAGAUGAAAAGAACUUUGAGAAGAGAGUUAAACAGUACGUGAAAUUGUCAAAAGGGAAGCGUUUGACACCAGUGUUGUUUAGUUGAAAAUCAAUUCAAUAAUUUUUGAUUUUGAGUAGUAUUGACUUCAUCAGCUUGCUGCUUUCUUUUCCGAAAUUAUUGAAUGCACUUUUCCGUUAACAAGUCAACAUCAAUUUCUUUUGUUGUAAAAGGGUAAGAGGAAGGUGGCUUGCGCUUCGGCUCAAGUGUUUAUAGCCUUUUAUCUCUGCAAUCGGAGAGAUUGAGGUCUGCAGCGUAGAUCCUUCGGGGUUAGAUACAUUGGUGCUAAGCUAUAGCCUUGUAUAGACAACUUGUUGACUAUGCUCAGUCAUGUAGCUUACUCGCUGAUGCUAUUUUACCUACGCUUAGGAUGUUGAAGUCAUCGUAUCGCGC
rnacentral:rRNA from 1 species